rnacentral:rRNA from 1 species
GACGAACGCUGGCGGCGUGCUUAACACAUGCAAGUCGAACGGAAAGGCCUGCUUUCCCUUGUGGAUUGCGGGUACUCGAGUGGCGAACGGGUGAGUAACACGUGAGUGAUCUGCCCCCAACUUGGGUAUAAGCCUGGGAAACUGGGUCUAAUUCCCGAUAGGACUGCAGGGUGGUGCCUGUGGUGGAAAACGAUUUUCUAGUGGUUGGGGAUGAGCUCGCGGCCUAUCAGCUUGUUGGUGGGGUAAUGGCCUACCAAGGCGGCGACGGGUAGCCGGCCUGAGAGGGUGGACGGCCACAUUGGGACUGAGAUACGGCCCAAACUCCUACGGGAGGCAGCAGUGGGGAAUAUUGCACAAUGGGCGGAAGCCUGAUGCAGCGACGCCGCGUGGGGGAUGACGGCCUUCGGGUUGUAAACUCCUUUCGACCGCGAGGGAGCCACCUGGUUGGAAGGGUGGUGACGGUAGUGGUAGAAGAAGCACCGGCUAACUACGUG